rnacentral:rRNA from 1 species
GAUGAACGUUGGCGGCGUGCUUAAGACAUGCAAGUCGCACGGGAUAAGACAUGUAGUAAUACUUGUUUUAUUUAGUGGCGCACGGGUGAGUAACACGUGAAUUACAUGCCCUAUAGUGGGGAAUAGCCCAGGGAAACUUGGAUUAAUACCCCAUGGUAUCGAAAGAUUAAAGGUGGCCGCAAGGCUGUCGCUAUAGGAUUGGUUCGCGCCCUAUCAGCUUGUUGGUGAGGUAACGGCUCACCAAGGCAAUGACGGGUACCUGGUCUGAGAGGACGAUCAGGCACACUGGAACUGAGACACGGUCCAGACACCUACGGGUGUGCGCAGUCGAGAAUAAUUCACAAUGGGGGCAACCCUGAUGGUGCAACGCCGCGUGGAGGAUGACGGUCUUCGGAUUGUAAACUCCUGUCAUCUGGGAGAAAGACCUGACGGUAAAUAGCCGGCAGGGUUGAUAGUACCAGAAGAGGAAGGGACGGCUAACUUCGUGCCAGCAGCCGCCGUAA